rnacentral:rRNA from 1 species
AUACAUGCAAGUCGAACGAAUCUCUUUUAGAGAUGAGUGGCGAACGGGUGAGUAAUACAUAGGUAACCUGCCCCUGUGCGGGGGAUAACAGGAGGAAACUCCUGCUAAUACCGCAUAGCCAUGAGCACCGCAUGGAGCUCAUGCCAAAUAUCCUUUCGGGGAUAGCGCAGGGAUGGACCUAUGGCGCAUUAGCUGGUUGGCGGGGCAACGGCCCACCAAGGCAACGAUGCGUAGCCGGCCUGAGAGGGCGGACGGCCACAUUGGGACUGAGACACGGCCCAGACUCCUACGGGAGGCAGCAGUAGGGAAUUUUCGGCAAUGGGGGAAACCCUGACCGAGCAACGCCGCGUGAGCGAAGAAGGCCUUCGGGUCGUAAAGCUCUGUUGUAAAGGAAGAACGGCGCAUACAGGAAAUGGUAUGCGAGUGACGGUACUUUACCAGAAAGCCACGGCUAACUACGUGCCAGCAGCCGCGGUAAUACGUAGGUGGCGAGCGU